rnacentral:lncRNA from 1 species
GAUGAGCCAGGUUCAACCUAUCAGCUUUGGCUUUGUACAGCUCCAUCUGGGUAUCUUGUUCCUUUUCCUUCAACCGGCGAUUCUCCAUCAGGGCUUGCUUGUACUGCUCAGCAGGUACACUCUCAGCAAGGAUCAAAGGUGGUUGUUCUUGCAAGGGCUUCAUCCUAUCAUAGGGCAACAACAAAGUCUCCACUCUCUUCUUAACCCACUCAGUGUAGUCAGGCAUAACAAUGACAAACUUCUUC